rnacentral:rRNA from 1 species
AUUGAACGCUGGCGGCAGGCCUAAAACAUGCAAGUCGAACGAAUGGCGGACUGGUGAAUAAUGUCUUAGAAACUGCCUGAGGGAGGGGUAUAACUAGUGGAAACGUUGGCUACUGCCGCAUAACACGGUAUGUGCUCAGGUGGAAGUAGCUAGUCGGGGGGGUAACGGUUCACCUAGGCGACGAUCCCUAGCUGGUCUGAGAGGCUGACCAGCCACACUGGAACUGAGACACGGUCCAGACUCCUACGGGAGGCAGCAGUGGGGAAUAUUGCACAAUGGGCGAAAGCCUGAUCGAGCAAUGCCGCGUGUGUGAAGAAGGUCUUCGGAUUGUAAAGCACUUUAAUUUGGGAGGCGUUACCAACAGAAAAAGCAACGGCUAACUACGUGCCAGCAGCCGCGGUAAUAC